CCCGGAUGAGUGGUGUGUUAUUCAAUUUGGCGGUUGUUAUCUGGGAAUAACAUACCGCUGGAUGGCGCGAUUGACCAAUCAGAAUCAAGUAUUCCACAGAGCCGCACUGUUUAUAUCAACAAU